rnacentral:rRNA from 1 species
UGGGGAAUAUUGCACAAUGGGGGAAACCCUGAUGCAGCGACGCCGCGUGAGCGAAGAAGUAUUUCGGUAUGUAAAGCUCUAUCAGCAGGGAAGAUAAUGACGGUACCUGACUAAGAAGCCCCGGUUAACUACGUGCC